UACGUAGGGUGCAAGCGUUGUCCGGAAUUACUGGGCGUAAAGGGCUCGUAGGCGGCCAACUAAGUCCGACGUGAAAUCCCCAGGCUCAACCUGGGAACUGCGUCGGAUACUGGAUGGCUUGAAUCCGGGAGAGGGAUGCAGAAUUCCAGGUGUAGCGGUGAAAUGCGUAGAUAUCUGGAGGAAUACCGGUGGCGAAGGCGGCAUCCUGGACCGGCAUUGACGCUGAUGAGCGAAAGCCAGGGGAGCAAACCG
rnacentral:rRNA from 1 species